rnacentral:rRNA from 1 species
CCUACGGGAGGCAGCAGUGAGGAAUAUUGGUCAAUGGCCGGAAGGCUGAACCAGCCAAGCCGCGUGAAGGACGAAGGUGCCAAGCAUUGUAAACUUCUUUUGUCAAGGGACAAAAUCAGGCUCGAGAGCCUGACCGAGGGUACUUGAAGAAAAAGCAUCGGCUAACUCCGUGCCAGCAGCCGCGGUAAUACGGAGGAUGCGAGCGUUAUCCGGUUUUAUUGGGUUUAAAGGGUGCGUAGGCGGAAAGUUAAGUCAGCGGUAAAAGCCCGGGGCUCAACCCCGGCGAGCCGUUGAAACUGGGUAUCUUGAGAUGUCGAGAGGUAUGCGGAAUGCGCAGUGUAGCGGUGAAAUGCGUAGAUAUUAGGAGGAACACCAGUGGCGAAGGCAGCUUACUGGACUGUAACUGACGUUGAGGCUCGAAAGCGUGGGGAGCAAACAGGAUUAGAUACCCCAGUAGUC